rnacentral:lncRNA from 1 species
UGAAUAGUGAAAAUUACUUGAUUGAAAAUAGCGUGUUUACUCCUCACCCAGCUCUGACUUUUUAGGCUCUAUUCAAGGUGGUUAUGUGCAACUCAUUUGACUGCCUUUUAGGAAGCCCUUUCUUCAGCAGAGUUUUAUAACACAUUUUUAAAAUUAAUUUAUUUAUUUUUAUACCAGUCUGUUGCAAGGAAAUAUGGCAAAAAUCAGUCUGUGUCCAAGGGUGUGUGUGGAAUUGUGGAAUAACUUAAAAUGUACCUGAAUUUCUCUUGCAUCUUUUAAGGGCUCUUCAUAUUACUGAUCAUGUUACCUAUACAAAUAACACAUUUUAAGAAGUUAAACUCCAAGGAACCAUUAGGAGGAAAUACUCCCCAUUCUGAAAACCACCCAAAACAGACUCUAAACUCUCUAGAAGAUAACAUUACUUUGGAAUUGAAGAAUCAUACAAUAGCCCAGAGAUUAACAUUCAUCAUGCUGAGAUUUGGGCAGCACAUCAUCAAGCCCUCCGUGGUCUUCCUGAAGACUGAGCUCUCCUUUGCUCUUGUGAACCGCAAGCCGGUGGUCCCAGGCCGUAUCCUUUUGAGCAGUGCCUUGGCCAUGGGUGCUCGUGCUCUGUGGAGAAGCUGAGGAAGGUUGGCGCGUGCUCCAAAGGCCAGGUAGGAUCUGCGCGGAUUUAUUCUGAAACCAGGCGGUGGAACAUAAUACACUUGAUUGGUGUUGCAGAACUGCCGAAAAGGGUUGCUUAGCAACUGUGACCUUACAGGUGAAUUUCUAUUGACCUUUUCACCACAGAAGAUGUAUAAACAACCAGGUGCUACUAAAAGCAUUUUAAAGUGUAUCUGAGAUGAUACUGUUUAAAUUUCAUAUUAUGCUAAAUAACACAUCCUGCUUCCCUUUUAAUAACGUCACUUAUUUUUAGAUGUGGUAACUUCUUUAUGGAGGAUUUUCAACUUCUUGUAGCUAAAUGUACACGAUUUGUCAAAUGGCAGCAGAAUUCUCUAUGAAGACUAUUAUUUUUUGGGGGGGGAACAGAUUGCUUUGAUUAAUUUAGGUAGGAAUGGAUUAAAUAAACCAUCUGUAUAGCAAACA